rnacentral:rRNA from 1 species
UACAGGGGUGCAAACGUUGCUCGGAAUCAUUGGGCGUAAAGCGCACGUAGGCGGUUCGUUAUGUCGGAUGUGAAAGCCCUUGGCUUAACCGAGGAAGUGCAUCCGAAACUGGCGAGCUAGAGUACUAAAGAGGAUCGCGGAAUUCCGGUGUAGAGGUGAAAUUCGUAGAUAUCGGGAGGAACACCGGUGGCGAAGGCGGCGAUCUGGGUAGAUACUGACGCUGAGGUGCGAAAGCGUGGGGAGCAACAGG